UAAGGAAUAUUGGUCAAUGGACGCAAGUCUGAACCAGCCAUGCCGCGUGGAGGAUGAAGGUCCUCUGGAUUGUAAACUUCUUUUAUCUGGGACGAAACACUUCUUUUCUAAGAGGCCUGACGGUACCAGAUGAAUAAGCACCGGCUAACUCCGUGCCAGCAGCCGCGGUAAUACGGAGGGUGCAAGCGUUAUCCGGAUUCACUGGGUUUAAAGGGUGCGUAGGUGGGUAUGUAAGACAGUGGUGAAAUCCCCGAGCUUAACUUGGGAACUGCCAUUGAUACUAUAUAUCUUGAAUACCGUAGAGGUAAGCGGAAUAUGCCAUGUAGCGGUGAAAUGCUUAGAUAUGACAUAGAACACCAAUUGCGAAGGCAGCUUACUACACAAUCAUUGACGCUGAGGCACGAAAGCGUGGGGAUCAAACA
rnacentral:rRNA from 1 species